UCUGCUUGUUAGGUUUACGGUU
rnacentral:snRNA from 1 species